UUAAAAAAAAAAAUCAGAAUAAAUGCUUCGAUAAAAAACAUACACAAAAAGUGGUCUUUUACGAAUACCGAUAAUUAGAAUUCACGAUUGUUUAAUUAAAAAUAUGUGUUUGGUUUAGCUAUGUAUUAUAUAUUUCCUUUAAUAAUAUUCGUUUAUUUUGUACCGAAUUUCCCAAUUUUCCUACGUUUUUCCCGGUUUUAUCCUAGUUUUUCAAAUUUGAUGCGAAAACUCUUGAAAAAAAAAAUCGAAAAAUGACUUCUCUAAAGUAUCUCGCUAGUGAAAUUUCUUUUUGAAAAUAUUGGUAUCAUUAAAAGUUGGAGCAUAAGUGCUGGU